AUGGACGCGGAGGUUGUGUUGCUGGCUUCACUACUGCAGACUUGGUCGUUGCAGUCAAGAAGCAGUGAUGGAUUCAGAGAAUCAAUUCUCCCUCCUCCAGACCCAGGGCCAAACUAUGCUAAAUUCUUGGAUGAUUACACUGCUAAGUCAUUGUUUCUUGUUUCCAAUUAUCUGUUAUGUACUCAAAAGUUUGAUGAGAUGGCUCUUAAGAAAUCACGGCUAUUAGUCCCUAUGAUGUCGUAUAUGCCAAGAUCCAUGGUGAUGGAUAUGGACUGA
rnacentral:lncRNA from 1 species